rnacentral:ncRNA from 1 species
GCUACGGACUUGAAUUUUGAGCCUUAGUAGAGAAAUGUACUAAGUGAUUGUUUUCACAUUCAGGGAAACCUAAGGUUUGAGAUAUGAGGUAAUCCUGAGCCAAAUUUUAAUUAUGAAAUAGGUGCAGAGACUCGAAGGAAACUAUCCUAACGAAAAAUUUUUUCUCUCUUUUUUUUAUUACGAGUAUUGCUUUAUUACACAGCACACAAUAUAUUCGAAAUAAUUAAAAUAUCUGAAUACUAAUAUAAAUAUUAGUUUUUCAAUAAAUUAUAUAUAGACGAGGAUAAAGAUAGAGUCCUUUUUUACAAUCUCUAUAAUUUUUACUUAUAAAUAAUUGUAAAAAGAAAAUCCGUUGGCUUUAAUAGACCUUGAGGGUUCAAGUCCCUCUACCCCCA